rnacentral:misc_RNA from 1 species
GAUGAAGAACGCAGCGAAAUGCGAUAAGUAAUGUGAAUUGCAGAAUUCAGUGAAUCAUCGAAUCUUUGAACGCACAUUGCGCCCUUUGGCAUUCCGAAGGGCACACCUGUCCGAGCGCCGUCGCACAACUGAGGCGCAGCCUUGCGUUGGCGGGCGACUCGUGAGUAGCGAGUCGCCGCCCAAACGAGACGGCGCCGCGCCGCGGCCGACGAAGCACGAAAGCGGAAGUCGACGCGGAGGCGGUUGCCUGUAGGAAGACACAGCUUGGCCUCGGAUCAGGUGGGGAUACCCGCUGAACUUAAGCAUAUCAAUAAGCGGAGGA